CUACGGGGUGCUCCAGUGGGGAAUAUUGUACAAUGGGCGCAAGCCUGAUGCAGCCAUGCCGCGUGUAUGAAGAAGGCCUUCGGGUUGUAAAGUACUUUCAGCGGGGAGGAAGGGAGUAAAGUUAACACCUUUGCUCAUUGACGUUACCCGCAGAAGAAGCACCGGCUAACUCCGUGCCAGCAGCCGCGGUAAUACGGGGGGUGCAAGCGUUAAUCGGAAUUACUGGGCGUAAAGCGCACGCAGGCGGUUUGUUAAGUCAGAUGUGAAAUCCCCGGGCUCAACCUGGGAACUGCAUCUGAUACUGGCAAGCUUGAGUCUCGUAGAGGGGGGUAGAAUUCCAGGUGUAGCGGUGAAAUGCGUAGAGAUCUGGAGGAAUACCGGUGGCGAAGGCGGCCCCCUGGACGAAGACUGACGCUCAGGUGCGAAAGCGUGGGGAGCAAACAGGAUUAGAUACCCGUGUAGUC
rnacentral:rRNA from 1 species